CUCAGGACGAACGCUGGCGGCGCGCCUAACACAUGCAAGUCGAACGAGCGAGAGAGAGCUUUGCCUUCUCGAGCGAGUGGCGAACGGGUGAGUAACGCGUGAGGAACCUGCCUCAAAGAGGGGGACAACAGUUGGAAACGACUGCUAAUACCGCAUAAGCCCACGGCUCGGCAUCGAGCAGAGGGAAAAGGAGCAAUCCGCUUUGAGAUGGCCUCGCGUCCGAUUAGCUAGUUGGUGAGGUAAUGGCCCACCAAGGCGACGAUCGGUAGCCGGACUGAGAGGUUGAACGGCCACAUUGGGACUGAGACACGGCCCAGACUCCUACGGGAGGCAGCAGUGGGGAAUAUUGCACAAUGGGGGAAACCCUGAUGCAGCGACGCCGCGUGGAGGAAGAAGGUCUUCGGAUUGUAAACUCCUGUUGUUGGGGAAGAUAAUGACGGUACCCAACAAGGAAGUGACGGCUAACUACGUGCCAGCAGCCGCGGUAAAACGUAGGUCACAAGCGUUGUCCGGAAUUACUGGGUGUAAAGGGAGCGCAGGCGGGAAGACAAGUUGGAAGUGAAAUCUAUGGGCUCAACCCAUAAACUGCUUUCAAAACUGUUUUUCUUGAGUAGUGCAGAGGUAGGCGGAAUUCCCGGUGUAGCGGUGGAAUGCGUAGAUAUCGGGAGGAACACCAGUGGCGAAGGCGGCCUACUGGGCACCAACUGACGCUGAGGCUCGAAAGUGUGGGUAGCAAACAGGAUUAGAUACCCUGGUAGUCCACACCGUAAACGAUGAUUACUAGGUGUUGGAGGAUUGACCCCUUCAGUGCCGCAGUUAACACAAUAAGUAAUCCACCUGGGGAGUACGACCGCAAGGUUGAAACUCAAAGGAAUUGACGGGGGCCCGCACAAGCAGUGGAGUAUGUGGUUUAAUUCGACGCAACGCGAAGAACCUUACCAAGUCUUGACAUCCCUUGACAGACAUAGAAAUAUGUAAUCUCUUCGGAGCAAGGAGACAGGUGGUGCAUGGUUGUCGUCAGCUCGUGUCGUGAGAUGUUGGGUUAAGUCCCGCAACGAGCGCAACCCCUAUCUUUAGUAGCCAGCGGUUUGGCCGGGCACUCUAGAGAGACUGCCAGGGAUAACCUGGAGGAAGGUGGGGAUGACGUCAAAUCAUCAUGCCCCUUAUGAGCAGGGCUACACACGUGCUACAAUGGCGUAAACAAAGGGAGGCAGAACCGCGAGGUCGAGCAAAUCCCAAAAAUAACGUCUCAGUUCGGAUUGUAGUCUGCAACUCGACUACAUGAAGCUGGAAUCGCUAGUAAUCGCGAAUCAGAAUGUCGCGGUGAAUACGUUCCCGGGUCUUGCACACACCGCCCGUCA
rnacentral:rRNA from 1 species